GACGCUGGCGGCGUGCCUAAUACAUGCAAGUCGAGCGAACGGACGAGAAGCUUGCUUCUCUGCUGUUAGCGGCGGACGGGUGAGUAACACGUGGAUAACCUACCUAUAAGACUGGGAUAACUUCGGGAAACCGGAGCUAAUACCGGAUAAUAUUUUGAACCGCAUGGUUCAAAAGUGAAAGACGGUCUUGCUGUCACUUAUAGAUGGAUCCGCGCUGCAUUAGCUAGUUGGUAAGGUAACGGCUUACCAAGGCAACGAUGCAUAGCCGACCUGAGAGGGUGAUCGGCCACACUGGAACUGAGACACGGUCCAGACUCCUACGGGAGGCAGCAGUAGGGAAUCUUCCGCAAUGGGCGAAAGCCUGACGGAGCAACGCCGCGUGAGUGAUGAAGGUCUUCGGAUCGUAAAACUCUGUUAUUAGGGAAGAACAUAUGUGUAAGUAACUGUGCACAUCUUGACGGUACCUAAUCAGAAAGCCACGGCUAACUACGUGC
rnacentral:rRNA from 1 species